UGAGGAAUAUUGGGCAAUGCCCGCAAGGGUGACCCAGCAACGCCGCGUGGAGGAUGAAUGUCGUAAGAUUGUAAACUCCUGUUAGAGGGGAAGAAUAGUACCGGUUGGACCGGUAUAUGACUGUACCCUCAGAGAAAGCCCCGGCUAACUACGUGCCAGCAGCCGCGGUAAUACGUAGGGGGCAAGCGUUGUCCGGAUUUACUGGGUGUAAAGGGCGCGCAGGCGGGAUAAAAAGUCAGUGGUGAAAUCCUACAGCUUAACUGUAGAACUGCCUUUGAUACUUUUAUUCUUGAGUUCGGGAGAGAGAGACGGAAUUCCAGGUGUAGUGGUGAAGUACGUAGAUAUCUGGAAGAACACCGGUUGCGAAGGCGGUCUCUUGGUCCGACACUGACGCUGAGGCGCGAAAGCGUGGGGAGCAAACA
rnacentral:rRNA from 1 species